GCUGGUACUGUAGCGAUCAUACUGUAGCACCAAUACUGUAGCGCUAGUACUGUAGUGCCGGCACUGUAGCAGUACUGGGGAGAUAAAAAUCCAAAGAUAAGGGGAGAUAGAACACCAAAAGAAAAAGACACCUAUGGAAGAAAGUGAGACUUGUGGUGGAUAAUGGCUAUGGAUCGAUAUUCCCAAAUAAGGGUUCCUACUUG
rnacentral:lncRNA from 1 species